GACGAACGCUGGCGGCGUGCCUAAUACAUGCAAGUCGAGCGGACUGAUUAAGAGCUUGCUCUUAUGACGUUAGCGGCGGACGGGUGAGUAACACGUGGGCAACCUGCCCUGUAGAUCGGGAUAACACCGAGAAAUCGGUGCUAAUACCGGGUAAUAUCUGCGAUCACAUGAUCUUAGGUUAAAAGAUGGCUCCGGCUAUCACUACAGGAUGGGCCCGCGGCGCAUUAGCUAGUUGGUAAGGUAAUGGCUUACCAAGGCGACGAUGCGUAGCCGACCUGAGAGGGUGAUCGGCCACACUGGGACUGAGACACGGCCCAGAGUCCUACGGGAGGCAGCAGUAGGGAAUCUUACGCAAUGGACGAAAGUCUGGCGGAGCAACGCCGCGUGAGUGAUGAAGGGUUUCGGCUCGUAAAGCUCUGUUGUUAGGGAAGAAACAGUACCGAACGAACUAGGUCGGUACCUUGACGGUACCUAACCAGAAAGCCACGGCUAACUACGUG
rnacentral:rRNA from 1 species